GGGGUGGCUAUCCAUGGCAAAUUGUUGGACCCUGGGAGAAGUUAUCAUCAAUCAUGGGAGGAUAAGCGUUUUUGGUGGCACUAACAGGGAUGCAGGAUUGAUAGCAUCUUUAUCCAAGGUUGUCUGUCUGAUUUGAUUCAUUACGCUUUUGUAAGUUUACCGUUGUCUGCUAUUUCCAAAUACACCUGAAUUUGUGAACACCACCUGGCUUUAGUUUAUCAGUGAGGCCAACCUAGGCCUUGUCUGUG